UGAGGGACGGAAACUUAGAAAGUGAGUUUG
rnacentral:piRNA from 1 species